rnacentral:piRNA from 1 species
UGGACAAGCUACCAUCUCCCUCUCUGCCCC